rnacentral:rRNA from 1 species
UACUAGAGUAGCACUCGCAUAUCAAUAAGCGGAGGAAAAGAAACUAACAAGGAUUCCCCUAGUAACGGCGAGUGAAGCGGGAAGAGCUCAAAUUUGAAAUCUUAAAGGGUUUCCCUUUACGAAUUGUAGUUUAAAGAAGUGUUUUCUGUUGAGGUUUUGGUAAAAGUUCUUUGGAAUAGGACAUCAUAGAGGGUGAGAAUCCCGUAUUUGACCUUUACUUUCAACUUUGUGAUACACUUUCAAAGAGUCGGAUCGUUUGGGAAUGCAGUCCAAAAUGGGUGGUAAAUUUCAUCUAAAGCUAAAUAUUGGCGAGAGACCGAUAGCGAACAAGUACCGUGAGGGAAAGAUGAAAAGAACUUUGAAAAGAGAGUUAAACAGUACGUGAAAUUGUCAAAAGGGAAGCGUUUGACACCAGUGUUGUUUUUCUGAAAAUCAAUUAAAGAACUGUUUAUGCUAAGCUGUUUAGACUUUAUCAGCUAUCUGUUUAGUUUUAGGCUUUUCUUUAAUGCACUUUUCAGUUAACAAGUCAACAUCAAUUUCUUUUGCUGUAAAAAAGCUUGAGGAAGGUGGCUUGAGAUUCGUCUUAAGUGUUUAUAGCCUCUUGCCUAUGCAGUCGGAGAGAUUGAGGUCUGCAGCGUAGAUCCUUCGGGGCUAAAUGCAUUUGUGCUAAGUUAUAGCAUUUUAUAGACAACUUGUUGACUAUGAUUUGUCCUGUAGCUUACUCGCUUAUGUUAUUUUACCUACGCUUAGGAUGUUGAGCGCAUGUCUCUCUCU